ACUCCUACGGGAGGCAGCAGUGGGGAAUAUUGCACAAUGGGCGCAAGCCUGAUGCAGCCAUGCCGCGUGUAUGAAGAAGGCCUUCGGGUUGUAAAGUACUUUCAGCAGUGAGGAAGGUGGGUAUGUUAAUAGCAUAUUCAUUUGACGUUAGCUGCAGAAGAAGCACCGGCUAACUCCGUGCCAGCAGCCGCGGUAAUACGGAGGGUGCGAGCGUUAAUCGGAAUUACUGGGCGUAAAGCGCAUGCAGGUGGUUUGUUAAGUCAGAUGUGAAAGCCCGGGGCUCAACCUCGGAAUUGCAUUUGAAACUGGCAAACUAGAGUACUGUAGAGGGGGGUAGAAUUUCAGGUGUAGCGGUGAAAUGCGUAGAGAUCUGAAGGAAUACCGGUGGCGAAGGCGGCCCCCUGGACAGAUACUGACACUCAGAUGCGAAAGCGUGGGGAGCAAACAGGAUUAGAUACCCUGGUAGCGUAG
rnacentral:rRNA from 1 species